rnacentral:rRNA from 1 species
GACGAACGCUAGCUACAUGCUUAACACAUGCAAGUCGAGCGGAUAUGCCUUCGCAAUCUUGCUUUUUAUAGUCUUUGAACGGCGCUCGGGUGUGUAACCCGUAUCCAACCUGCCCAUUACUUGGGCAUAACCUUGCGUCAGUAAGACUACUACCCACUGAUAUUCCACGAAGGCAUCGGAAUGUGAUUCCAGUUUUCUCUUUGAUGGAUGGUUAUGCUUCUGAUCUGCUUGUUGGCUGGGUAACGGCCCAUCAAGGCUACGAUCAGUAGGGGUUCUGAGAGGAAGGUCCCCCACAUUGGAACUGAGACACGGUCCAAACUGCUACGGGAGGCAGCAGUGAGGAAUAUUGGUCAAUGGGCGAGAGCCUGAACCAGCCAAGUAGCGUGCAGGAAGACGGCCCUAGGGGUGGUAAACUGCUGUUAUAAGAGAAUAAAGUGGGUCACGUGUGACUUUUUGCAGGUACCUAAUGAAUAAGGACCGGCUAAUUCCGUG